UGCAAGAAAAUUGUUAAACAACUUGAAGAACAGAUGUUAUCGUCUGAAAAGGAAGUAUUCGUUUUCAUAAAGUAAAUUUGUGCGUAUGUGUGGCCAGAGCUAAUUCUCAGCAGAUUUUGUUUCCUGCUUCUCCGGGAAAAUAUUUGUUUUCUCUGAGCGGAAUCAUUGCUCAUUCCUGGGGCGAUUCAAUUGUUCACUUGUAUUUCUUUGCUAGGGCUGCUAUAGCAGGGUAUCGCAGAGUGGGUGGUUUCAACAACAGAAAUUUAUUUUCUCACAAUUCUGAAGGCCAGACAUUCGAGAUCACCGGACAGUAGUCCCCCCUUGCCCACGGUUUCGCUUUCUGUGGUUUUGGUUACCGGAGACGAACCUCAGAAGCAGAUGACCCUCUACUGUCAGGUUCGUGGUCGCCCUAAACUACAAGGGUGCCUACAUCAUUCACCUCACCCCAUCUCACCAGCCAGAGGAGGCAUUUUAUCAUCUCACACCCUCACAAAAAGAAGAAAGUUACCAAAUUGGAGUUCCUGGGCCUCAUGUUCUCUGGUCUACUCGGCGGAUAGUUUCCUCAACUUCGGAUUCUUCGGUGAGAGAUGAAAGCUGAACUCACUGACAUCCAUAGACAGCUAUCUUUCUAAGUACUUUUUCAUAUUCCAAAUGUGUCUCGUCAGGAGCAACUUGCUUUGUGUCUACAAAGGUAUUAAGCAGAAAUGCAGUUCACACUUGAUAAUUGGUUUUCUCUUGGGCUGACCUUCAAUCUGCUACUUAGCAGAGUAUAUCCACACUUUCGACUGAAAGAUGACGUUAGGGACACAGUUCUGUUGGGGGUGGCUGUUAAGCUAAUAAUCCUUUCCAUUAAUCAACACACCAAAACUCUGUGGGCAGAGAUCACCCUUUGCAACUUUAACUCUUACAGUCGGUUGUGCUUUAUUGUGUAUUAUUCGGAGAGUAAUUGAUACUUUUU